CAUGAAGACAGCUCUGGGAAAAGAAACAGCUUUGCAUCAACAUGAGACACAGCUCAUAUUCUCUUUUACAUGAGGAUGUAACUAGCUCUGUUUUACCUGACGUGAAUGUAAAUUGAUUUUCCUCCUCGUUCCCAUGAUGAAUUAUCUUCCUCAAGCUGUGCUACUGAGUGGUCAGAAAACACAGAAAGAAUGUGUCAGGAGCUUGAAGAAGAAGCAAAACUCUGUGAUGAAGUGGGAAUUAAGCAGCAUGCCAUCCUGCCACCACUCCCUCACCAUUGACCGGUGUUUCGCAUGUUUCUGCAGGAAACAGAUGCUUGGACACGUAUCAAAUCUCGCAAAAGCCACCAGCCAGAAAUGUGAUUGCAGAAGAACGGUCAGCAGUUAUGUCGAUUUUUUUUCCAAUCUGUUUUUAAAAGCAAAACUGAAAUAACUUUAACUGUAGAGAAG
ensembl:lncRNA